CUCAGCAGAGGACCUUGGGCUGAAGGCCAAGCUGAGAGCUGAACUAGGGAUGGGGGAGGAUCUGGCCUAGAGGUGAAAUAAAAAGUUUGCAGAAACUAAACCAAGCAUGAAGUAGAACUGGAACCUUUAAUUUCAUUAACUACAUUAUGUUGCUGUAGGAUUCUUAUCCCCACUGUGGACUGAGAUGUCAUAGGGAUAGAGAAAAUGCCGCUCACUUUAUGGAUUACUGUUAGGUCAACAAAACUUUGGCAGCAUUGAUUAACUU